UACGAAGGGGGCUAGCGUUGUUCGGAAUCACUGGGCGUAAAGCGCACGCAGGCGGAUUGAUAAGUCAGGGGUGAAAUCCCGGGGCUCAACCUCGGGAAUUGCCUUUGAUACUGUCUGUCUUGAGUCCGGGAGAGGUGAGUGGAAUUCCUAGUGUAGAGGUGAAAUUCGUAGAUAUUAGGAAGAACACCAGUGGCGAAGGCGGCUCACUGGCCCGGUACUGACGCUCAUGUGCGAAAGCGUGG
rnacentral:rRNA from 1 species